rnacentral:rRNA from 1 species
UACGUAGGGUGCAAGCGUUAAUCGGAAUUACUGGGCGUAAAGCGUGCGCAGGCGGUUGUGCAAGACAGAUGUGAAAUCCCCGGGCUCAACCUGGGAAUUGCAUUUGUGACUGCACGGCUAGAGUGUGUCAGAGGGGGGUAGAAUUCCACGUGUAGCAGUGAAAUGCGUAGAGAUGUGGAGGAAUACCGAUGGCGAAGGCAGCCCCCUGGGAUAACACUGACGCUGAGACUCGAAAGCAUGGGGAGCAAACAGG